GACGAACGCUGGCGGCGUGCUUAACACAUGCAAGUCGAACGGAAAGGCCCUGCUUUUGUGGGGUGCUCGAGUGGCGAACGGGUGAGUAACACGUGAGUAACCUGCCCUUGACUUUGGGAUAACUUCAGGAAACUGGGGCUAAUACCGGAUAGGAGCUCCUGCUGCAUGGUGGGGGUUGGAAAGUUUCGGCGGUUGGGGAUGGACUCGCGGCUUAUCAGCUUGUUGGUGGGGUAGUGGCUUACCAAGGCUUUGACGGGUAGCCGGCCUGAGAGGGUGACCGGCCACAGUGGGACUGAGAUACGGCCCAGACUCCUACGGGAGGCAGGAGUGGGGAAUAGUGCACAAUGGGCGGAAGCCGGAUGCAGGAACGCCGCGUGCGGGAUGACGGCCUUCGGGUUGUAAACCGCUUUCGCCUGUGACGAAGCGUGAGUGACGGUAAUGGGUAAAGAAGCACCGGCUAACUACGU
rnacentral:rRNA from 1 species